rnacentral:rRNA from 1 species
GACGAACGCUGGCGGCGUGCUUAACACAUGCAAGUCGAGCGGUAAGGCCCUUUCGGGGGUACGACGAGCGGCGAACGGGUGAGUAACACGUGGGUGACCUGCCCUCAGCUCUGGGAUAAGCCCGGGAAACCGGGUCUAAUACUGGAUAUGACUCCAUGACGCAUGUUGUGGGGUGGAAAGCCUUGUGCGGCUGAGGAUGGGCCCGCGGCCUAUCAGCUUGUUGGUGGGGUGAGGCCUACCAAGGCGACGACGGGUAGCCGGCCUGAGAGGGCGACCGGCCACACUGGGACUGAGACACGGCCCAGACUCCUACGGGAGGCAGCAGUGGGGAAUCUUGCGCAAUGGGCGAAAGCCUGACGCAGCGACGCCGCGUGAGGGAUGACGGCCUCGGUUG